rnacentral:rRNA from 1 species
UACGGAGGGUGCAAGCGUUAUCCGGAAUCACUGGGCGUAAAGGGCACGUAGGCGGUCUUGUAAGUCCGAUGUUAAAGCGUGGGGCUCAACCCCAUCACGGCGUUGGAUACUGCAAGGCUUGACGACUGGAGAGGUGAGUAGAAUUACCAGUGUAGCGGUGGAAUGCGUAGAUACUGGUAGGAAUACCCAUUGCGAAGGCAGCUCACUGGACAGUACGUGACGCUGAGGUGCGAAAGUGUGGGGAGCAAACCGG